AUUGAACGCUGGCGGCAUGCUUUACACAUGCAAGUCGAACGGUAACAGGCCGCAAGGUGCUGACGAGUGGCGAACGGGUGAGUAAUGCAUCGGAACGUGCCCAGUCGUGGGGGAUAACUACUCGCAAGAGUAGCUAAUACCGCAUACGAUCUAUGGAUGAAAGCGGGGGACCGUAAGGCCUCGCGCGAUUGGAGCGGCCGAUGUCAGAUUAGGUAGUUGGUGGGGUAAAGGCUCACCAAGCCAACGAUCUGUAGCUGGUCUGAGAGGACGACCAGCCACACUGGGACUGAGACACGGCCCAGACUCCUACGGGAGGCAGCAGUGGGGAAUUUUGGACAAUGGGCGCAAGCCUGAUCCAGCAAUGCCGCGUGCAGGAAGAAGGCCUUCGGGUUGUAAACUGCUUUUGUACGGAACGAAACGGCUCUGGUUAAUACCCGGGGCUAAUGACGGUACCGUAAGAAUAGGCACCGGCUAACUACGUG
rnacentral:rRNA from 1 species